rnacentral:rRNA from 1 species
UACGUAGGUGGCAAGCGUUGUCCGGAAUUAUUGGGCGUAAAGAGCUCGUAGGCGGCCUGUUGCGUCCGCUGUGAAAGCCCGGGGCUUAACCCCGGGUCUGCAGUGGAUACGGGCGAGGCUAGAGGUAGGUAGGGGAGAAUGGAAUUCCCGGUGUAGCGGUGAAAUGCGCAGAUAUCGGGAGGAACACCGGUGGCGAAGGCGGUUCUCUGGGCCUUACCUGACGCUGAGGAGCGAAAGCGUGGGGAGCGAACAGG